rnacentral:rRNA from 1 species
GAUGAACGCUAGCGAUAGGCUUAACACAUGCAAGUCGAGGGGCAGCAUGGUCUUAGCUUGCUAAGACUGAUGGCGACCGGCGCACGGGUGCGUAACGCGUAUGCAACUUGCCUCACAGAGGGGGAUAACCCGUCGAAAGACGGACUAAUACCGCGUACACUCUAUUUUGGGCAUCCAAGGUAGAGGAAAUGAAAUUCGCUGUGAGGUAGGCAUGCGUCCCAUUAGCUAGUUGGUGAGGUAACGGCUCACCAAGGCGACGAUGGGUAGGGGAACUGAGAGGUUGAACCCCCACACUGGUACUGAGACACGGACCAGACUCCUACGGGAGGCAGCAGUGAGGAAUAUUGGUCAAUGGGCGAGAGCCUGAACCAGCCAAGUCGCGUGAAGGAUGACUGUCUUAUGGAUUGUAAACUUCUUUUGUAGGGGAAUAAAGAGGGGCACGUGUGCCCCAGUGAAUGUACCCUACGAAUAAGCAUCGGCUAACUCCGUG